rnacentral:rRNA from 1 species
GACGUAGGGCGCGAGCGUUGUCCGGAUUUAUUGGGCGUAAAGAGCUCGUAGGCGGUGUGUCACGUCGGCCGUGAAAACCUGCAGCUUAACUGUGGGCGUGCGGUCGAUACGGGCAUCACUGGAGUUCGGCAGGGGAGACUGGAAUUCCUGGUGUAGCGGUGAAAUGCGCAGAUAUCAGGAGGAACACCGGUGGCGAAGGCGGGUCUCUGGGCCGAUACUGACGCUGAGGAGCGAAAGCGUGGGGAGCAAACGGG